GAUGAAUGCUGGCGGCGUGCCUAAUACAUGCAAGUCGAGCGGUAAGGCCCUUCGGGGUACACGAGCGGCGGGACGGCUGAGUAACGCGUGGAACAUGCCCCAAAGUGAGGGAUAACGCACCGAAAGGUGUGCUAAUACCGCAUAUGGUCUUCGGAUUAAAGGAUUUAUCCGCUUUGGGAGUGGCCCGCGUUACGAUUAGAUUGUUGGUGAGGUAACGGCUCACCAAGUCGACGAUCGUUAACUGGUCUGAGAGGAUGAUCAGUCAGACUGGAACUGAGACACGGUCCAGACUCCUACGGGAGGCAGCAGUAAGGAAUCUUCCACAAUGGGCGAAAGCCUGAUGGAGCAACGCCGCGUGCAGGAUGAAGGCCUCGGGUCGUAAACUGCUUUAUGAGUGAAGAAUAUGUCGGUAACUCAUGAAUAAGCACCGGCUAACUACGUGCCAGCAGCCGCGGUAAU
rnacentral:rRNA from 1 species